UCCGAGUUGACCCCGGCAGUCUCCUACGAGUCCCCGCCAUUACGCGCUGGCAACAUAGGACAAGGGUUGCGCUCGUUGCGGGACUUAACCCAACAUCUCACGACACGAGCUGACGACAACCAUGCACCACCUGUGCAGGGCCCCGAAGGACACCGUAUCUCUACGGCUUUUCCCUGCAUGUCAAGCCCAGGUAAGGUGGGGAUGACGUAAGGAUAG
rnacentral:misc_RNA from 1 species